rnacentral:rRNA from 1 species
GAUUCUGGCUCAGGAUGAACGCUAGCUACAGGCUUAACACAUGCAAGUCGAGGGCAGCAUGAAACUUAGCUUGCUAAGUUUUGAUGGCGACCGGCGCACGGGUGAGUAACACGUAUCCAACCUACCGUUUUACUACGGGAUUAGCCUUCUGAAAAGGAGAUUAAUACCGUAUGGUAUUCUAAAGUUUCAUGACAUUAGAAUUAAAGGUUUACCGGUAAUCGAUGGGGAUGCGUUCCAUUAGAUAGUAGGCGGGGUAACGGCCCACCUAGUCAGCGAUGGAUAGGGGUUCUGAGAGGAAGGUCCCCCACAUUGGAACUGAGACACGGUCCAAACUCCUACGGGAGGCAGCAGUGAGGAAUAUUGGUCAAUGGGCGAGAGCCUGAACCAGCCAAGUAAGCGUGAAGGAUGACUGCCCUAUGGGUUGUAAACUUCUUUUAUAAAGGAAUAAAGUGGUCCACGUGUGGAUUUUUGUAUGUACUUUAUGAAUAAGGAUCGGCUAACUCCGUGCCAGCAGCCGC